AAGUCGUAACAAGGUUUCCGUAGGUGAACCUGCGGAAGGAUCAUUAACACGUAUCCAACGUUAAACAACCCUGUGAACCUUGAACGUGCUCUCGCACACGCUCUAUUGAGUCAGGGACCUCUGCUUUAAAACGAUGCGAUACGAGCGCCAGAGUAAGUGCGGCCUGGCAUCCUAGCAAUCUGUCAGUGGUUGCGCAAGGAUGGCGCAGUAAACGAUCGCUGUAGGCCCACACGGCCGGCGACCGGGCCUCUGUGCUUCGGCACCUAACGACCCCAUGUUUCGUACCCGGUGCGCUGUAACAACCGCACCACAAACUCGAACAACUGUUAACAAUGGAUAUCUUGGUUCUC
rnacentral:misc_RNA from 1 species